rnacentral:lncRNA from 1 species
GUGGGAACUAAACACACAGAGCUAAGUAACCUGUCCAAGGAUAAUAAAGUAGUAAAUGGCAAAGAUGGAAUUCUAUCUGCAGCCAGAGCUGGGGCUUACAAUAUGCAGCUGGCCCCUCAGGCUCAGAAACAACUGGGGAGGUGCGCUAAGCAAAUGUCAGACGUAAAUGUUACAUUGAGCAAACAACGGGAGGGAAGAGUACAUGACAAGGCAGGAGCAGCUCCACACCACACAGCUGUUUCAAGGGCGAACAGACCAUGGUGUCCUGGCAGACGGAUCCUGAUGUCCAAAGUCUAUGCCUAUAUUUGGAAAAUUCUGCACUUUAUAAAUCUCAUUGGGAAGCCCUGCCUACCUCCAGCCCUGGAAGCUCAGUUUCCUAUCUUCCUUGCAGUGAGGACACAAGCCCCUGAGCUACGCUCCACUAGUGGUAAGUUCAUACCAGUCUUUGAACCGAAAACGGCACUGUGAAGCAGGACUGCCCAGCAACCAUUCUGGGGAGGGACGGUGGCAACAGCAGUG